rnacentral:rRNA from 1 species
AACGAACGCUGGCGGCGUGCCUAACACAUGCAAGUCGAACGAGAAAGGGGCUUCGGCCCUGAGUAAAGUGGCGCACGGGUGAGUAACACGUAGGUAACCUGCCUCUAAGAUCGGGAUAACCCGUCGAAAGACGAGCUAAUACCGGAUAAGACCACAGUCUCCUCGGAGAUCGGGGCCAAAGGUAGCCUCUACUUGUAAGCUAUCACUUAGAGAUGGGCCUGCGUACCAUUAGCUAGUUGGGGGUAAUGGCCUACCAAGGCAAAGAUGGUUAGCUGGUCUGAGAGGAUGAUCAGCCACACUGGAACUGAGACACGGUCCAGACUCCUACGGGAGGCAGCAGUGGGGAAUAUUGCGCAAUGGGCGAAAGACCUGACGCAGCAACGCCGCGUGAGUG